rnacentral:rRNA from 1 species
AGAGUUUGAUCAUGGCUCAGAACGAACGCUGGCGGCAGGCUUAACACAUGCAAGUCGAACGGGCGUAGCAAUACGUCAGUGGCAGACGGGUGAGUAACACGUGGGAACCUUCCUAGGGGUACGGAACAACUCAGGGAAACUUGAGCUAAUACCGUAUACGUCCGUGAGGAGAAAGAUUUAUCGCCCUUAGACGGGCCCGCGUCGGAUUAGCUAGUUGGUGGGGUAACGGCCUACCAAGGCGACGAUCCGUAGCUGAUCUGAGAGGAUGACCAGCCACACUGGGACUGAGACACGGCCCAGACUCCUACGGGAGGCGGCAGUGGGGAAUCUUGGACAAUGGGCGCAAGCCUGAUCCAGCCAUGCCGCGUGAGCGAAGAAGGCCUUCGGGUUGUAAAGCUCUUUUGUCAGGGACGAUAAUGACGGUACCUGAAGAAUAAGCCCCGGCAAACUUCGUG